rnacentral:rRNA from 1 species
GACGAACGCUGGCGGCGUGCUUAACACAUGCAAGUCGAACGGAAAGGCCCUGCUUUUGUGGGGUGCUCGAGUGGCGAACGGGUGAGUAACACGUGAGUAACCUGCCCUUGACUUUGGGAUAACUUCAGGAAACUGGGGCUAAUACCGGAUAGGAGCUCCUGCUGCAUGGUGGGGGUUGGAAAGUUUCGGCGGUUGGGGAUGGACUCGCGGCUUAUCAGCUUGUUGGUGGGGUAGUGGCUUACCAAGGCUUUGACGGGUAGCCGGCCUGAGAGGGUGACCGGCCACAUUGGGACUGAGAUACGGCCCAGACUCCAACGGGAGGCAGCAGUGGGAAAUAUUGCACAAUGGGCGGAAGCCUGAUGCAGCAACGCCGCGUGCGGGAUGACGGCCUUCGGGUUGUAAACCGCUUUCGCCUGUGACGAAGCGUGAGUGACGGUAAUGGGUAAAGAAGCACCGGCUAACUACGUG